UGAGGAAUAUUGGGCAAUGCCCGCAAGGGUGACCCAGCAACGCCGCGUGGAGGAUGAAUGCCGUAAGGUUGUAAACUCCUGUUAGAGGGGACGAAUGAUUCCGAUUGCAUCGGAAGUUGACUGUACCCUCAGAGAAAGCCCCGGCUAACUACGUGCCAGCAGCCGCGGUAAUACGUAGGGGGCAAGCGUUGUCCGGAUUUACUGGGUGUAAAGGGCGCGCAGGUGGGCUUGAUAGUUAGAGGUGAAAUCCUGUGGCUUAACUGCAGAACUGCCUUUAAUACUUCAAGUCUUGAGUGCGGAAGAGAGAGACGGAAUUCCAGGUGUAGUAGUGAAAUACGUAGAUAUCUGGAAGAACACCAGUUGCGAAGGCGGUCUCUUGGUCCGUAACUGACACUUAGGC
rnacentral:rRNA from 1 species